AUGGCUUUGGAAGGCCGCCGGUGCCGCAGAGCAGCUCACACAGUGAAGCAGAGCUGGACAGGAGAGGACAUGAGAUGUGAGCAUUUCCCACCACAUAUUCACCUUGUGUUGAUGAGUGUGACCGCUCCUUUCUCCCUUUUGUUUUUUGUUGCAGCUGUUCGACAUCUUUCAAAGCACGUGAGAUUCCUGUCUAUCUCCGCCCAGCUUAGGAAGGAAAAAGGAAAUGGACAGGCGCAACAGUCAGCGGGGCUGGUGUGUGUGCUGGGGAGAGAGAGGUGGAGAGAAGAUGUGCAAAUCGCAGCAGCUGCUCUGAUUUUUGUGGUUAUCAUGUGCUUUGAUAUUGGAUCCUUGUGGCAACUUUGCCUGACAUCACCAGCAAAGACCCUUCUGAGCAAAUGUGUACUGGAGACCUCCUGAGGAAUCCACUGGAGCCUGCGCAUCCCCUUUUCCUAGCAAGGCCAACUAGAAAACUUUCAACCGAGAACUAUCAUGAACAGGUAAAAUGUGUUGACUAGCAAACAAAUAAAGGAGGCGAGCUGUGGAUUUUGGAAAAAAUUGGUAUGUUGCAAGCAUAGAAGGCCU
rnacentral:lncRNA from 10 species